ensembl:lncRNA
UGGCAGAGGUAAGGUCCCAAGGAAAAGACCAGAAGUGCAAAGACCUCCUGAAGCCCAGGCUUGGCACUGGUACAACCUUACUCUGCCAUACUUUAUUUGCCAAACCAAGUGUCCUAAGGCCAGAAGAGACUCAAGACUAUAAACAGACACCACAUUUGAUGAGAAGGGCUGCAAAGUCACAUCGUAAAGAAUGACUAAUGAUCACUGAAAGUGAUGGAUUUGAGUUCCCUGUCUCUCCUUUGCCCUGCCACCCUCUGGAACAGGGGCUGCUGGACAACAGAGAGGAGAAAAAUAUAAAAUCACGGAGAAGAAGCCAAACCCAUGAAAAUCUACAAAUGGGUGGAUAGCCUUUGAAUAAGGAGCUGCAUCAUCUGCUCAUUACAUGAAAGAGGUGCCAGUCCCGGGCAAUAUUCUAGCCAAGACCCGAGGUCCCUCUUCAGGUGAAGUCUGCCUACAGAAGAUGCAAGAUGCCUCUCUCACCCUCUAAGUUCCGUGUGUGUAUGUACGUUUGGUCACUCAGUCAUGUCCAGCUCCUUAGAACCACAUGAACUGUAGCCCACCAGGCUCCUCUGUCCAUGGGAUUCUCCAAGCAAGCAUACUGGAGUGGGCAGCCAUUCCUUUUUCCAGGGGAUCUUCCCGACCCAGGGGUCAAACCCAUGUCUUCUUCAUUGGAGGCAGAUUCUUUGCCAUCUGAGCCACCAGCCUCCAUAAAACAGCAGCAUUCCUGGAUCCAGAAGUGUCUCAGGAAGACUGAAUACUUUUUAUUCGGUUUCUCAUUUUAUCAAGUACGAAAAAACUGAAAUAGCACUUCACCUAAAAAUUCAUGAAAUCUCUAAUUUUUGUUAACUGAUGUAAUUUUGUGUUUGAAAGUACUUUGAAUUGAAAUUUUAUCACUUGAAAGGGCUCUUUUCCACUCAUCCUCUUUGAUCACCACAACAAUCCAGUAAGUUAAGCAAAUAACUUGGAGGAAAUUGAGACAUCAGAAGAAAACGAAAUUAUCUAAGAAUUUAUUGUGAGUAAUACAGCAGAGCUGGGAUUCAUAUUCAAGUUUUCCAGUCCCAGUCAAAUAUUCUUUCCAAUCCUCCCCAUUCUAAUAAACAAAUUAAUAAAUAUUGUGAAUGUCAGAAAUUUGUCAUGUACAUGUACUCAAUUUUCCUGAAAAUCUAUUAAAUAUAUCCCACAUGACUUUCAGGCCUCUUCUUCCCCCUAUCUGUUGCUCUAACCCAAAUAAGAUGACAAAUAAGUUUGACAUUAGAGGCAUACAGUAGAAGAG